rnacentral:tRNA from 3 species
GGAACUGUAGUUCAAUGGCUUCAGAAUUUUCGGCUCCAGACCGAACGAUGAGGGUUCGAUUCCCUCCAGUUCCA